UUUUUGUUGUGUCCGGAAGCAUUUGUGCCAAGGAUAUCCACUGUAAGCAGUCUUGUGUGUCCCCAUCAAAGUAAGGGAGAAGAAGGAAGGUGUUAGGACAGAUUGAAGAAGUGGAUUGAGCAGGAAACUCACCUGGUAGACAUACUGUGUUUGCAGAUAUGUGUUAGAGUAACCGUAAUGCUUGAAUUAAAAGAACGAAUUGUUGCUGACAAAAAGUGAAGAUGAUGACUUGGAUAUAGUAGAAGGUAGGAGAGCCUCGUUUAUUCAGCAGCUGCUAAGAGAAACACUUUCUGUCGCUCCUUACAUCACCCCAGCAA
rnacentral:lncRNA from 1 species